rnacentral:rRNA from 1 species
AUUGAACGCUGGCGGCAUGCCUUACACAUGCAAGUCGAACGGCAGCACGGGGGCAACCCUGGUGGUGAGUGGCGAACGGGUGAGUAAUGCAUCGGAACGUACCCGGAAGUGGGGGAUAACGUAGCGAAAGUUACGCUAAUACCGCAUAUUCUGUGAGCAGGAAAGCAGGGGAUCGCAAGACCUUGCGCUUUCGGAGCGGCCGAUGUCGGAUUAGCUAGUUGGUGAGGUAAAGGCUUACCAAGGCGACGAUCCGUAGCUGGUCUUAGAGGAUGGUCAGCCACACUGGGACUGAGACACGGCCCAGACUCCUACGGGAGGCAGCAGUGGGGAAUUUUGGACAAUGGGGGAAACCCUGAUCCAGCCAUGCCGCGUGAGUGAAGAAGGCCUUCGGGUUGUAAAGCUCUUUCGGACAGAAAGAAAUCGCCAUCUCUAAUACAGGUGGUGGAUGACGGUACUGUAAGAAGAAGCACCGGCUAACUACGUGCCAGCCGCCGCGGUAA